rnacentral:lncRNA from 1 species
AUGCAUGACUUGUGUACUAGGCCGGACCCAUCUGAACCACCGCAGCACGGUUCACCCACACCAGAGAUGAUUAGUGGUGAACCUGAACCUCCAGCUGGACCCGGGCAUCCCGAUCGAGGAAAACCAGAGGAGAAAGCACUAAAUUCGGAUGUUUUGAGUGCGGUGAACAUGAGAUCCUCCACGACUAAUGGAAACAGCAGUGUCAUGGUGCCGUCCAAUGUUUUGGCUAAGCGGCAUCAUUCUCUAUAUGAAGGGCUGAAUGGAUGCGAGGCAGGGAGAUUCGGAAAGAACGGCCGGGAUUAUGGCUAUCUGGUGCGGCAGAACUCGGAGCUGCUGCGAGCGCUGGAGGAGAUGGAGAAAUCCUGCGCCGCUCUGAGAGAAGAGAACCGCGUACUGAGAAAGAGCAGUUCUCCAGAGACGGAGGAGAAGGUGAAGAGGCUGAGGAAGAAAAACGCUGAACUCGCCAUCAUCGCCAAACGACUGGAGGACAGAGCGCGGAAACUCCAGGAGGCGAACCUCAAAGUGGCCAGCAGUCCGAUGGCGGUGCGAGCGGGGCAGUGGAGCAGUAUAAGCGGGCGUUUGCUCGUCAGAGAGCCAGAGAUCUGGCACAGCACGCAGACACACUCCUGAGAAAAGAUAAGCAGAUCUCAUCACUGUGCAGACAGCUGGAGACGCACACCGGGCAACACAAGGUAAACACACACUGACUUACAGAAGAAACAACAAACUCUCUACAUUUUAUAUAGCUGAAAAUGUCAGUUUCAUCAAUGCAUCGUGAUUCUUUCUCUGGUG